CCUACGGGUGGCAGCAGUGGGGAAUAUUGCACAAUGGGGGAAACCCUGAUGCAGCGACGCCGCGUGAGUGAAGAAGUAUUUCGGUAGGUAAAGCUCUAUCAGCAGGGAGGAAAAUGACGGUACCUGAUUAAGAAGCCCCGGCUAACUACGUGACAGCAGCCGCGGUAAUACGUAGGGGGCAAGCGUUAUCCGGAUUUACUGGGUGGAAAGGGAGCGUAGACGGCAGCACAAGUCUGGAGUGAAAUGCCGGGGCUUAACCCCGGAACUGCUUUGGAAACUGUGCAGCUAGAGUGCAGGAGAGGUACGUGGAAUGCCUUGUGUAGCGGUGAAAUGCGUAGAUAUUAGGAGGACCACCAGUGGCGAAGGCGGCUUACUGGACUGUAACUGACGUUGAGGCUCGAAAGCGUGGGGAGCAAACAGGAUUAGAUACCCGGGUAGUC
rnacentral:rRNA from 1 species